rnacentral:rRNA from 1 species
AAUCAACGCUGGCGGCGUGCCUCAGACAUGCAAGUCGAACGCGAAAGUUUCCUUCGGGAGAUGAGUAGAGUGGCGCACAGGUGAGUAACACGUGAGUAAUUUACCUUCGGGUGGGAAUACUAACCGGAAACGGUUGUUAAUACCGCAUAAUGCAGCGGCAUCAAUGAUGACAGUUGUUAAAGCGGGGGAUUGGAGCAAUCCGACCUCGCGCCUGAAGAGAAGCUCGCGGCAGAUUAGCUAGUUGGUAAGGUAAUGGCUUACCAAGGCGACGAUCUGUAACCGGCCUGAGAGGGCGGUCGGUCACACUGACACUGAAUAACGGGUCAGACUCC